rnacentral:misc_RNA from 1 species
CCGAGUUUACAACUCCCAAACCCUGUGAGCAUACCAAUUGUUGCCUCGGCGGAUCAGCCCGCUCCCGGUAAAACGGGACGGCCCGCCAGAGGACCCCUAAACUCUGUUUCUAUAUGUAACUUCUGAGUAAAACCAUAAAUAAAUCA